GCAAGAACUAUUUUAUCGAGUACAUUGCGUAGUGUACGGUUAUCUUACCCCUUGAGUUUUUCCUGACACGCAUGUGCCGUAUAGAACGAGAGAGAACUCUGUGCCCUGUGAAACGUACGCGCAUUGUCCGUUUGGCUCGCGGAGGCCUGAGAACCGAGAUCUCCCGCCAACAGCUUGAGUCAACAGGUGGGCGCCCUAGUGUCGGCGAAUCAAAGGCGAACUGGGUCAUCUCAAUUUAGUCAUCGCGCUCAAAAACACACACAGGGAUCACGUCCAUCAAGGUUGUCUUGGUUCGCAAGAAAAUGGAGAAAUCAAAACCGGUAAAAGGCUGGCUGUCCUUUUUGACCUGGAUCGUGAAACAUUUAUGCUGCAUCUCGUGUUAUGUCGCAACUUUUGAAAGUUUAAUUUAAACGGGAAAAUAUGUACAAUAAUAAAUGUACUAAGUAUACUGC